AACGAACGCUGGCGGCAGGCCUAACACGUGCAAGUCGAGCGGACCCUUCGGGGUUAGCGGCGGACGGGUGAGUAACGCGUGGGAAUAUGCCCUUCUCUACGGAAUAGUCCUGGGAAACUGGGGGUAAUACCGUAUACGCCCUUUGGGGGAAAGAUUUAUCGGGGAAGGAUUAGCCCGCGUUGGAUUAGGUAGUUGGUGGGGUAAUGGCCUACCAAGCCGACGAUCCAUAGCUGGUUUGAGAGGAUGAUCAGCCACACUGGGACUGAGACACGGCCCAGACUCCUACGGGAGGCAGCAGUGGGGAAUCUUAGACAAUGGGGGCAACCCUGAUCUAGCCAUGCCGCGUGAGUGAUGAAGGCCUUAGGGUUGUAAAGCUCUUUCAGCUGGGAAGAUAAUGACGGUACCAGCAGAAGAAGCCCCGGCUAACUCCGUG
rnacentral:rRNA from 1 species